AUGUAUUGUCAGGUACAUGUACUGCAUCCAUCCAUCCUCUAUCUCUAUCUAUCAGUUACAUGUACUGCAGUCAUCCAUCCAUCCAUCCAUCCAUCCAUCCAUCCUCUAUCUCUAUCUAACAGUUACAUGUACUGCAUCCAUCCAUCCAUCCAUCCAUCCAUCCAUCCAUCCAUCCAUCCUCUAUCUCUAUCUGUCAGUUACAUGUACUGCAGUCAUCCAUCCUCUAUCUGUCAGGUACAUGUAGUGCCUCAUCCAUUCUCUAUCUCUAUCUAUCAGGUCCAUGUACUGCCUCAUUCAUCCUCUAUCUCUAUCUAUCAGGUAAAUGUACUGCCUAAUCCAUCCUCUAUCUCUAUCUGUCAGGUACAUGUAGUGCCUCAUCCAUCCUCUAUCUCUAUCUAUCAGGUUAAUGUACUGCCUCAUCCAUCCUCUAUCUCUAUCUAUCAGGUUAAUGUACUGCCUCAUCCAUCCUCUAUCUCUAUCUAUCAGGUUCAUGUACUGCCUCAUCCAUCCUCUAUCUCUAUCUAUCAGGUACAUGUACUGCCUAAUCCAUCCUCUAUCUCUAUCUAUCAGGUACAUGUACUGCCUCAUCCAUCCUCUAUCUCUAUCUAUCAGGUACAUGUACUGCCUCAUCCAUCCUAAAGUAUAAAUAAUUUCAAAUGCAUAGACAAUAAUAUCCACGGUCUGUUCCAGAGUCUAAUCCACAGUUUGAUCCACAGUCUGAUCCACAGUCUGAACCACAGCCUGAUCCACAGCAUGGUCCACAGUCUGUUCCACAGUCUGUUCCACGGUCUGUUCCACGGUCUGAUCCACAGUCUGAUCCACAGUCUGAUCCACAGUCUGAUCCACAGUCUGAUCCACAGUCUGAUCCACAGUUUGAACCACAGCAUGAUCCACAGCAUAAUGCACAGCAUGGUCCACAGUCUGUUCCACAGUCUGAUCCACGGUCUAAUCCACAGUCUGUCUAAUCCACAGUCUGAUCCACAGUCUAAUCCAGUCUGAUCCACAGUCUGACCCACAGUCUGAUCCACAGAGUUUUUAAACCUAAUCUGUAUACCAGAGGAGGCUGGUGGGAAAAGCUAGACAUGUGCUUUCCAUGUGUUUAAUGUGUUUUAUACGGUUACAUUGAUUCCAUUCCAGCCAAUACAAUGAGCCCGUCCUCCUAUAGCUCCUCCCUCCAGCCUCCUCUGGUGGAUACCACGGGAAGUGGCAGCACAGAAUUAUCAGCCUUACACAACUAGCUGGCCUCCAUAUGUAAAUGUUAUAUCUUUCUACCAGAGAUAUUAUAAGGUUAGUUCAUUACAUAAGAGUUAUGAGGAGAGGGAACCAGAUCAACCCUGUUAAACUUCAUGGCUCCAUCUCCUACUCUAUUUCACUCUCUCAAUCCCCCUCUCUCUCUCUAUAUAUACUCUCUCAAUCCCCCUCUCUCUCUAUAUAUAUAUUCUCUCUCUCUCUCUCUCUCUCUCUCUCUCUUUCCAUCUCUCUUGCCCUCUCUCUCUUUUUCUCUCUCUGUCUCGCGCCCUCUCUCUCUUUCUUUCACUCCCUCUCAUGUGUUUUCUAUAAAAGCCCUUCUAUCAUUCAAGGCAUCACAAAGAGCAUGUUAAAUGGACCUGCCUGUCGUCGCCUGUCGUCUUUGAUACGUACAGGCUAUUACAUUACUAACCACAGGCAGGAAGAUGUUCACUACGACCAUGUUUGGUAAGAUGGUGUUUAGCGGUUAUCCCCCAGAAACAAACAGACUGAAAAGAAAGGAAGGGAAGGGAGAGAGGAGGAUGUUGUUGGACAAACACUGGAGUCCAUCUGAUGUCUUUUCAAAUAAAACAUUUCUGUGGACUGAAGGAACAUACAUGAAUAAAUUAUAACUCAGCUGUUUAACUGUAAAUAGCUAGCAUCAAUAUAGUAUAUCUCAGCUGUUUAACUGUAUAUAGCUAGCAUCAAUAUAGUAUAUCUCAGCUGUUUAACUGUAUAUAGCUAGCAUCAAUAUAGUAUAUCUCAGCUGUUUAACUGUAUAUAGCUAGCAUCAAUAUAGUGUAUCUCAGCUGUUUAACUGUAUAUAGCUAGCAUCAAUAUAGCAUAUCUCAGCUGUUUAACUGUAUAUAGCUAGCAUCAAUAUAGUAUAUAUCAGCUGUUUAACUGUAUAUAGCUAGCAUCAAUAUAGUAUAUCUCAGCUGUUUAACUGUAUAUAGCUAGCAUCAAUAUAGUAUAUAUCAUCUGUUUAACUGUAAAUAGCUAGCAUCAAUAUAGUAUAUCUCAACUGUUUAACUGUAAAUAGCUAGCUACAAUUCAAUUUAGUAUAUCUCAGCUGCUUAACUGUAUAUAGCUAGCAUCAAUAUAGUAUAUCUCAACUGUUUAAUUGUAUAGAAUUGUAGAUAAAGGCUUAGUGUCGUUAUCCUCGUAAUGGGAGGGUGUUGGAGUCCUGAAAACAGGGGAUGCAGUCACUUUCGCCCCUGUCUUUGUUUUGGUUUUUGUUCUACAGUUCUAACAAUAACAAAGCUGUUGUUUUGGUAAACAGCUACGGGUAUAAGGGCACAAGGCAGAGACCCAGAGGCAGACACGGGAGGCAGACACGGGAGGCAGACACGGGAGGCAGACACGGGAGGCAGACACGGGAGGCAGACACGGGAUGCAGACACGGGAGGCAGACCCAGAGGCAGACCCGGGAGGCAGACACGGGAGUCAGACACGGGAGGCAGACACGGGAGGCAGAGACCCAGAGGCAGACACGGGAGGCAGACACGGGAGGCAGAGACCCAGAGGCAGACACGGGAGGCAGACACGGGAGGCAGACACGGGAGGCAGAGACCCAGAGGCAGACACGGGAGGCAGACACGGGAGGCAGACACGGGAGGCAGACACGGGAGGCAGACACGGGAGGCAGAGACGGGAAGCAGACACGGGAGGCAGACACGAGAGGCAGAGACGGGAGGCAGGUGGUUUGAGUCUUUUGAUAUUUAUUAAGAGGCCAGGAGGUACAGUCUGGC
rnacentral:lncRNA from 1 species